AGCAGCCGCGGUAAUUCCAGCUCCAAUAGCGUAUAUUAAAGUUGUUGCAGUUAAAAAGCUCGUAGUUGAAUUUCGGGGUCAGUAGGUUGGUCAUGCCUUCGGUAUGUACUGGUCUCACUGAUUCCUCCCUCUUGAAGAACUGUAAUGUCAUUAAUUUGGUGUUGCGGGGAAACAGGACUGUUACUUUGAAAAAAUUAGAGUGUUUAAAGCAGGCUCACGCUUGAAUACAUUAGCAUGGAAUAAUGAAAUAGGACGCUCGAUCCUAUUUUGUUGGUUUCUAGGAUUGACGUAAUGAUUAAUAGGGACAGUUGGGGGCAUUAGUAUUCAAUUGUCAGAGGUGAAAUUCUUGGAUUUAUUGAAGACUAACUACUGCGAAAGCAUUUGUCCAAGGAUGUU
rnacentral:rRNA from 1 species